CGGUUUCAGAUCAAUAGAGGACAGAGGACAACCAGGCUGUCCUCUAUGAUGGCCACCCUAUCCACAGCACAAUCCAUCUCACUGAGCCAAACUCCCUAUGGCUUCCUCUCCUUCUCCUGGCCCCAUAAGCCUUUCCCUUCUUGCUACCCAUGAACCAGCAUCAAGAAAAGGGCUGGAGAGGUGCUUUGGCCAAUAUGGACAUAGAAUCUAAGUGCCGCCUAAGCGUCAAAAAUUAUGCUAAGUGCUACUUAGGUGCAUAAAGGUGAAAUACGGUUCAGCCUUUAUGUGUAGAUGAACAGUUAGUUGCACGUGUACUAAUGGGUUCAGCAAGAUAGAAAGUUAUUGUUUUCUGGAGGGAGUUGAAAGAGGGAUGUUUCAAGUGAAAUUUUAAUGCUCAUCUUUUUCAGGUAAAGGCCUUUGCAGUAUUGACAUCUCCUAUCAUUUUAUCACCAGUCUCGUAAUAUUUGAUGGUUUUUUCCCCCCCCUUAAAGCCCUGCCUAGUCCCUGAAAUUGUGUUAGUAAGGGAAAAUCUCAGCUUGCAAAAAAAAAAAAUGUUUCUCAGCCUUGCGGCUGUGGAAAAAGCCUAGAAAUAUGAAAUGAAAGAAAGGUUCAAACACCAAAAGACAAAUACAAAGAAAUCUCAUGCUUCUGAAGCUACUCUAUUGGUAUUCUGGGUGCCUGACUCAUGACUUGUGAAUGCUUGUGGUUGGCAACACUGACUUCGACACUCCUCCUUUCAAAACACAUCUGACUCCAGAGCACUGAAUACUGGGUCAGGUUCUCUGUGGAUACAAAUCAAAGUAACUCUAUUUAACUAUGAUGAUUUAUGUCAGCUGAGGAUCUGUCUCUUUUAGCUUCAAUCCCUCCCCUACUUGAAGCCUGUUCAAUUAGAGCAGAAACUAGACUGAGUUGCUUUGAGUCAGCCAAUUCCGGCAAUGUCCAGUAGAUCCAGUGGAUCAGAGAGACUGACAGCAGGGUUUCACUCUAGCUGGCACUUUGGAUUCACUUCAGUAGCAUUUGGUAUUUUGAAAACAACAGGUUUAGUAGUGAAAAAUUAAUGCUGUCUUAUUCAGUUAUCAGCAGGCAAACAGUAGGUAACGGGAGUUUUGGGGGGCAUGUGUGCAGCCUUUUUUCUAGGCACAUUUCUAGGCUUGAUAACAGGAUAGUCAAUGAUGGAGCAAUGGUGUGAUCUGUAAUAGAUGCACCAAGUUCUUUCCUGUGUGAAGACAGAAGGGACGUCUAGUGUUUGCAAGUCAAGUUGGUAGGUGUGCUGGAAGAAAGAUUCAGUGUUUGGAAGGGCAAAUGCUGAUGUUGUGGGGGAUCGGAGCAAAUAAGAAGCACUUGGACAAUCAGAGUCUGGAACAACGCUACCUCGGAUUCAAGAACCAAAGGAAAUGGCUGCUAAGGAAUCAGAAAGAGUGGAAAUCAGAAAGGAAAUGACAGUUUGUUACCACCAGAGUCACGGCAAGUGGUAUUAUACACAGCUAGAGGGGAAAAAUGAUGUGGUGGGUGUGACUACCAAAAACAAGAGCAUCAGAAGGAAUUCCACACAGCAAGAAUCAUUUGAUUAUUACCAGGUCAUAAGCACAGAAACUUCAGAAAAUAUCUCUGAAGAUCCAGGUCAGCCCAACAAGAACACCUCUGAAGAGAUCUCCAGCCAUUCAAGGAAGAGAAAUGAUCCUGAUCAAGGGCUCUGGUCUUAGAAGAAAAGACUUUUCUACAAGGGAAACCAAACCAGGUAGAAAACAGGAGAGAGGGCUGCCUUCUAAAAGCCAAGUCGCAAGGCCUCAAACCUUCCGUCUUGGUCUCGGAUUUAGGUCAAGAUAUAAUUGUAAGACUGGAUAGACGCUAUCACACUAAUACGAUGACUUUGUGUGUUACCCAUAAAAUAUAAACAACUUUAGACCUUGGAAGAAAGAGUGUUAAAGGAGAAGAAAACCAAAGUAAUCUCAGAGAUCCAUCCUGUUCCAGGGAGAAAGAAAGACAGAAGACAUAACACUUGGAUAUUGAGUCACUGGCCAGCAAGUGAUUAGGCCAUCAGAUACAUGGGCAAUAUCCACAUGAUUAGAAAGAAGCAUGUUGCCAGCAGCACUGAGAAGGAAAACCCAAUUGUCUGGAGGGACCAGUUCUGCUCCCAAUGUGCUGGCCAGGAAGCAGUGCUACCCAGCCAGAGGAAAUUCUUUCAGCUCAACAAUACUGGGCUCUUUGCUGCUCCCUCUCAGCCCCUGAUGUUUUGAUGCUGCCAAAGACUCCAAGGGCAGGAUCUAGAGAGCCCAGUGCAUCUUGGAUUGCCAGAAGGGUAAGAUGGGUCCCCUGUGACGGCCAGAACCAGAGGGAUUAAUAAGCAAUAAAUAAGUGCUUCUUGGAGGCAUUUGGUAUUUUGCCUAACAGGUAAUAUUAGCUAAUAUAAAGCUUGUAAGUUCAUAACCUGCAAAUGUAACUUGUCUGUCAUAAGUUUAACCAAAAUGAUAAAACUAACUGUUCGUAUUAAUUGUGGAACUGACUGGGCCCCAAAGGCGAAGCCGUAGCUGCAAGUUUAGCUGACCUAACGGUUUUUGCUCAGGGUUCAGCCUUGAUGAUAAAAACUGGAUCCAACUGCCUGGCAUACCCAACAUAUUCCAGGAAAGCACGUCCCAAGAAAACAUACUCAGAGAAAC